AGGGGCUUAAGUUAAUAAAACUUAAAACCUUCAAAGUUUUGAAUAGGAAUGGAAGUUUCUUAGUCUCUG
rnacentral:tRNA from 1 species